rnacentral:rRNA from 2 species
UGAUGAACGCUGGCGGCAUGCCUUACACAUGCAAGUCGAACGGUAACAGGCCGCAAGGUGCUGACGAGUGGCGAACGGGUGAGUAAUGCAUCGGAACGUGCCCAGUCGUGGGGGAUAAUUGCUCGAAAGAGCAGCUAAUACCGCAUACGACCUGAGGGUGAAAGCGGGGGACCGUAAGGCCUCGCGCGAUUGGAGCGGCCGAUGUCAGAUUAGCUAGUUGGUGGGGUAAAGGCCUACCAAGGCAACGAUCUGUAGUUGGUCUGAGAGGACGACCAGCCACACUGGGAUUGAGACACGGCCCAGACUCCUAUCGGGAGGCAGCAGUGGGGAAUUUUGGACAAUGGGGGCAACCCUGAUCCAGCAAUGCCGCGUGCAGGAAGAAGGCCUUCUGGGUUGUAAACUGCUUUUGUCAGGGAAGAAAUCUUCUGGGCUAAUACCCCGGGAGGAUGACGGUACCUGAAGAA